AAGCGCCUAUGACCAGACUUGUGCCCGGUUGAUCAUCCAGCGUUAUGCGCUGGUGCACUCUUCCGGCCCAGGCCAGCAUCGGUUUCGCCGGGGGGAUAAAGGCAGCGGGAAUGUAGCUCUUCGGAGUGUUAUAGCCCACCGCACAAUACCCCCGUGGGGACCGAGGUACGCGCUUCUGCAAGGAUGCUGGCGUAAUGGUCAUCAGCGA
rnacentral:rRNA from 1 species